rnacentral:rRNA from 12 species
GGUUAAGCGACUAAGCGUACACGGUGGAUGCCCUGGCAGUCAGAGGCGAUGAAGGACGUGCUAAUCUGCGAUAAGCGCCGGUAAGGUGAUAUGAACCGUUAUAACCGGCGAUUUCCGAAUGGGGAAACCCAGUGUGAUUCGUCACACUAUCAUUAACUGAAUCCAUAGGUUAAUGAGGCGAACCGGGGGAACUGAAACAUCUAAGUACCCCGAGGAAAAGAAAUCAACCGAGAUUCCCCCA